UCAAAACAGCGGCCUUCGGGCCUCGCUGCACCCUUGUCUUUUGCGCACCGUAUUGUUUCCUCGGCGGGCUUGCCUGCCGGUUGGACAUCAUAAACCUUUUUGUAGUUGCAAUCAGCGUCAGAAAAACAAUAAUUAUUA
rnacentral:misc_RNA from 1 species